AGCUCUGUAAGCGUAUACCAAAGUUGUUGCAGUUAAAACGCUCGUAGUCGGAACUUGGCAAUUCCGGAUGUGUGCACAUCGUGUGGGCACUUUGCGGGGAUUGCUUUUGUGGACUGGCGUCGGAUGAGGCACUUUCACUAGUGAACGUCCGCACGCAUCCACUCUUUACUGUGAGAAAAUCAGAGUGCUCAAAGCAGGCAUUUGCCGUGAAUGUAUUAGCAUGGAAUAAUAGAAUAGGACUUGGUUCUAUUUUGUUGGUUUGUUGGGGCUGAGUAAUGAUUAAGAGGGACAGUUGGGGGCAUUUGUAUUUCGGCGCUAGAGGUGAAAUUCUUAGAUUGCCGAAAGACAAACUGCUGCGAAAGCGUCUGCCAAGGAUGUUUUCA
rnacentral:rRNA from 1 species